rnacentral:lncRNA from 1 species
ACAAACUGCUAACAAUAACAACAAGCACAAAACUAACACAACCGACAUAGUCUAAAACUUCAGUCAUCACCCAUAUUCGCAGAAGAAAGAAGAAAUGUAGUACGCACAACAAACCCAAUGAAAAGCACAAAAAAAUCUGCAAUAGCAACAACAACAAAAAAAAAUGUACUAAAAUAUUCGAAAGAUGCCUUAAAAGCUGUAACAGCAACAACAACCACAAAAAAUAAAAAAAUAAAAACUUAAUAAAAAGAAUGCACAUCAAACCCAAUGAAAAGCACACAAAAAUUACAGUAUGGAAGUUCACAUUUAAAAAAUUGAGUAUAGAAGCCAAUUCCCACAUAGACCGGAGUUUGUAAUGCGACAAC